CUUGUUAGACUAUUCAUCAUUUUUCCUUCUCGCCUCUUCCAACAAUUCCUUAUAUCUUCUCUUCUCUUCCUCAUUUCUAUUUUUUCUUACGUACACCUCUUUACAACCUGCACCUGUACAACUCGCCAGACAACAUGAUGGUGGUGGUGGUGGUGGAUUCAGUGUCACAGCACCACCUCUUCCCACGUUGGCUUGCUAACUUCUCCCUCAGUGUGAUGGUUGUGACUCAUCUGAUGGACAUGUCUCCUGCUGUGCUCUGUCCCUCACAGCCCUCCAUCCAGGUGGUGCCAGGAAACAGCCAAAAGAAGAAGAGAAGCAAGUAUGAUGCAGGUCACACAGCAGUGUGCCUCAGUGCCUCACCAUGGCCUGCAUCUGUGCCUGCUGCUGCUGCUGCUACUGCUGCAUCAUGAGUAAGGACUGUAGCUCAGACUCUUUGCUGCCGCUGUAUCUGCUGCUGCUGCUGUACCCGUCACCCUAAGCUGCUGUGGUCCAGACUUGCCGGGAGGAAUGCUGUUAGUAUUUGGACAGGACAGCAGGAUUCAUGGCACAACACAAGUCGAGUUAACAAAGCAAGGAAAAAGAGCUUCACAAGAAGAAGACGAAGAAGAAGAAGAAGAAGAAGAAGGCGAAAAAUAUGACACUGGAAUGGACGUCAGUGUGUUUAGUGUCACUGGAGUUCACCAUUUUCUGUCCAUCCCGCCAUGGCGGAACUCGUGGUGGAACUCGAGGAAGGGUUUGGAAGAUGCUGUGUAUUGUUUUAACACCGUGUAAUUCAAUUGUUUGUGCCUCAGCGCUGUCGGUGUGUUUUCUGUAUCAGAUUGCAAAGAUAUGGAGGAAAGUGAGAGAAGAGGAAGAGAAAGAUCAAGAGAAGAAGAGG